CGUAGGGGGCAAGCGUUGUCCGGAUUUAUUGGGCGUAAAGCGCGCGUAGGCGGCAAGGUAUGUCGUGCGUGAAAUCUCCCGGCUUAACUGGGAGGGGCCGUGCGAAACUGCCUGGCUUGAGGUCGGAAGGGGAAAGUGGAAUUCCGGGUGUAGUGGUGGAAUACGUAGAUAUCCGGAGGAACACCAGCGGCGAAGGCGGCUUUCUGGUCCGAUUCUGACGCUGAGGCGCGAAAGCGUGGGGAGCGAUCCGGAUUAGAUACCCGGGUAGUCCACGCCGUAAACGAUGAGUACUAAGUGUCGGGGGUAUCGACCCCCUCGGUGCCGUCGCUAACGCAUUAAGUACUCCGCCUGGGGACUACGGCCGCAAGGCUA
rnacentral:rRNA from 1 species